UACGUAGGUGGCAAGCGUUGUCCGGAUUUACUGGGCGUAAAGGGAGCGUAGGCGGAUUUUUAAGUGAGAUGUGAAAUACCCGGGCUUAACUUGGGUGCUGCAUUUCAAACUGGAAGUCUAGAGUGCAGGAGAGGAGAAGGGAAUUCCUAGUGUAGCGGUGAAAUGCGUAGAGAUUAGGAAGAACACCAGUGGCGAAGGCGAUUCUCUGGACUGUAACUGACGCUGAGGCUCGAAAGCGUGGGGAGCAAACAGGAUUAGAUACCCGCGUAGU
rnacentral:rRNA from 1 species